GAUGAAGAACGUAGUGAAAUGCGAUAAGUAGUGUGAAUUGCAGAAUUCAGUGAAUCAUCGAAUCUUUGAACGCACAUUGCGCCCCUUGGUAUUCCAUGGGGCAUGCCUGCUCGAGCGUCAUUUGUACCUUCAAGCUUUGCUUGGUGUUGGGUGUUUGUCUCGCCUUUGCGUGUAGACUCGCCUUAAAAUAAUUGGCAGCCGGCGUAUUGAUUUCGGAGCGCAGUACAUCUCGCGCUUUGCACUCAUAACGACAGCGUCCAAAAGUACAUUUUACACUCUUGACCUCGGAUCAGGUAGGGAUACCCGCUGAACUUAAGCAUAUCAAUAAGCGGAGGA
rnacentral:misc_RNA from 1 species